rnacentral:rRNA from 1 species
GAUCCUGGCUCAGGAUGAACGCUGGCGGCGUGCUUAACACAUGCAAGUCGAACGAAGCACUUUAAUUGAUUCUUCGGAAUGAAGUUUUGUGACUGAGUGGCGGACGGGUGAGUAACGCGUGGGUAACCUGCCUCAUACAGGGGGAUAACAGUUGGAAACGACUGCUAAUACCGCAUAAGCGCACAGGAUUGCAUGAUCCAGUGUGAAAAACUCCGGUGGUAUGAGAUGGACCCGCGUCUGAUUAGCCAGUUGGCGGGGUAACGGCCCACCAAAGCGACGAUCAGUAGCCGACCUGAGAGGGUGACCGGCCACAUUGGGACUGAGACACGGCCCAAACUCCUACGGGAGGCAGCAGUGGGGAAUAUUGCACAAUGGGGGAAACCCUGAUGCAGCAACGCCGCGUGAGUGAUGACGGCCUUCGGGUUGUAAAGCUCUGUCUUCAGGGACGAUAAUGACGGUACCUGAGGAGGAAGCCACGGCUAACUACGUG